rnacentral:rRNA from 1 species
CCUACGUGUGGCUGCAGUGAGGAAUAUUGGUCAAUGGGCGCGAGCCUGAACCAGCCAAGUAGCGUGAAGGAAGACUGCCCUACGGGUUGUAAACUUCUUUUAUAAAGGAAUAAAGUGAGGCACGAGUGCCUCUUUGUAUGUACUUUAUGAAUAAGGAUCGGCUAACUCCGUGCCAGCAGCCGCGGUAAUACGGAGGAUCCGAGCGUUAUCCGGAUUUAUUGGGUUUAAAGGGAGCGUAGAUGGGUUGUUAAGUCAGUUGGGAAAGUUUGCGGGUCAACCGUACAAUUGCAGUUGAUACUGGCAGUCUUGAGUGCGGUUGAAGUAGGCGGAAUGCGUGGUGUAGCGGUGAAAUGCUUAG